GGUAGUAUUUAAACAAAAACCCAUAUAUUAGGGCGGUCUUAUCUAUCUAAAGGAACUCGCUUCAUAAUCGUCAAUACUCGAUAAUUUUCACUUAUUAUUUAUAGUUUAUAUACCGCCGUUACAGAUUAUAUUCAACAAUAAAAAUCAUAUUAUAUAAUUUUAAAAAAUCAGGUCAAGGUGUAGCUUAUUAAAUAAGAGUAAGUAAGUUACAUUAAAAACAAUUUAAGGCAUGAAAUUUAAAACCAACAAAAAAAAGAAUUUAGUUUCACACAAUUUUUAUAAUAAAUUAUAGAAUAUUUAAUA
rnacentral:rRNA from 1 species